ensembl:miRNA MIR138-2 microRNA 138-2
GCUGCAGCUGGUGUUGUGAAUCAGGCCGA